rnacentral:rRNA from 1 species
CCUACGGGAGGCAGCAGUGGGGAAUAUUGGGCAAUGGAGGCAACUCUGACCCAGCAAUGCCGCGUGAAUGAAGAAGGUCUUCGGAUUGUAAAGUUCUUUAAUCAGGGACGAAGAAGAUGACGGUACCUGAGGAAUAAGCCACGGCAAACUAUGUGCCAGCAGCCGCGGUAAUACAUAGGUGGCAAGCGUUGUCCGGAAUCACUGGGCGUAAAGCGUGCGUAGGCUGUUUCGUAAGUCGUGUGUGAAAGGCGCGGGCUCAACCCGCGGACGGCACAUGAUACUGCGAGACUAGAGUAAUGGAGGGGGAACCGGAAUUCUCGGUGUAGCAGUGAAAUGCGUAGAUAUCGAGAGGAACACUCGUGGCGAAGGCGGGUUCCUGGACAUUAACUGACGCUGAGGCACGAAGGCCAGGGGAGCGAAAGGGAUUAGAUACCCUAGUAGUC